rnacentral:rRNA from 1 species
CGCGGUAUCCUGACCGUGCUAAGGUAGCGUGAUAAUUUGUCCUUUAAUUGUGGACUUGUACGAAUGGAUGAACGAAAAUUAGGCUGUCUCUAAAAAUUAGAAAUUAAUUUUAAAGUGAAAAAGCUUUAAUAUUAGUAUAAGACAAAAAGACCCCAUAGAGCUUUAUUUUACUUUUAUAAAUAAAGAAAUAAUUUAUAUUAUUUAUUUAAAAUUAGAAAUUUAACUGGGGCGGUUGAUGAAGUUUUAAUCUUCUUUAUUUGUUUAAAAAAUAAUUUAUUGUUUAAUAAAAUAGAUCCUUUGAAAGAUUAAUAGAUAAGUUACCUUGGGGGUAACAGACUAAUUUUUUUUGAGAGUUCGUAUUGACAAAAAAGUUUGGCACCUCGAUGUUGGCUUAG